GCCGGGCGAGGUGGCGGGCGCCUGUAGUCCCAGCUACUCGGGAGGCUGAGGCAGAAGAAUUGCUUGAACCCUGGGAGAUGGAGGUUGCAGUGAGCCAAGAUCGUGCCACUGCACUCCAGCCUGGGUGACAGAGCAAGACUCUGUCUCUU
rnacentral:SRP_RNA from 1 species